UUGCGAUCGAACCCAGGAUCUACUGUAUUCAUUGCAUUGAGGAAGCAGGUUUUCAAAGGAAUAUACAUUUGCUUUGAAGCAUGCAAGCGGGGGUUUUUGAAUGGUUGUAGGAAGAUAAUUGGAUUGGAUGGGUGUCAUUUAAGGGGGAAUUACGGAGGACAAAUGCUUACAGCGGUUGCAUACAAUGCAAAUGAUUGCAUUUA
rnacentral:lncRNA from 1 species